rnacentral:rRNA from 1 species
UACGUAGGGUGCGAGCGUUAAUCGGAAUUACUGGGCGUAAAGCGUGCGCAGGCGGUUAUGUAAUACAGAGGUGAAAUCCCCGGGCUCAACCUGGGAACUCCCUUUGUGAAUGCAUGACUAGAGUACGGCAGAGGGGGAUGGAAUUCCGCGUGUAGCAGUGAAAUGCGUAGAUAUGCGGAGGAACACCGAUGGCGAAGGCAAUCCCCUGGGCCUGUACUGACGCUCAUGCACGAAAGCGUGGGGAGCAAACAGG